rnacentral:rRNA from 1 species
CCUACGGGGGGCUGCAGUCGAGAAUCAUUCACAAUGGGGGAAACCCUGAUGGUGCGACGCCGCGUGGGGGAAUGAAGGUCUUCGGAUUGUAAACCUCUGUCAUGUGGGAGCAAAUUAAAAAGAUAGUACCACAAGAGGAAGAGACGGCUAACUCUGUGCCAGGAGCCGCGGUAAUACAGCGGUCUCAAGCGGUGUUCGGAAUCACUGGGCGUAAAGCGUGCGGAGGCUGUUUCGUAAGUCGUGUGUGAAAGGCGCGGGCUCAACCCGCGGACGGCACAUGAUACUGCGAGACUAGAGUAAGGGAGGGGGAAGCGGAAUGCGCGGUGUAGCGGUGAAAUGCGUAGAUAUCGAGAGGAACACUCGUGGCGAAGGCGGGUUCCUGGACAUUAACUGACGCUGAGGCACGAAGGCCGGGGGAGCGAAAGGGAUUAGAUACCCGAGUAGUC